CCAAAUCGAUGAUCGAUACCGUUAAAUAUGAUUUAGACAGUAUAAACUAUGUAGAAAUCAAGUUUCCUACUUUUUAGAUAUUAUUAGCUAAAUGAUCAAAGGGUCACAAAAUUUAUAAUUUUAAUGACCGGUAUGGUACGUUUGCUAGUUUAGCGGUAUAAAAGAGUCCAAAUCAACUAAUUUUUUAUUAUUAUUUUUUAAACUAUUUAAAAUAAAAUUUAAAC
rnacentral:lncRNA from 1 species